rnacentral:rRNA from 1 species
GAUGAACGCUGGCGGCGUGCCUAACACAUGCGAGUCGAACGAAGCACAUCGAAUGGAGAUUCGUCAAAGUCUGGUGUGACUUAGUGGCGGACGGGUGAGUAAUGCGUGAGCAACCUGCCUUUCAGAGGGGGACAACAGUUGGAAACGACUGCUAAUACCGCAUAACAUAUUUUGGGGGCAUCCCCUUGAUAUCAAAGGAGCAAUCCGCUGAAAGAUGGGCUCACGUCUGAUUGGCUAGUUGGUGGGGUAACGGCUCACCAAGGCUGCGAUCAGUAGCCGGACUGAGAGGUUGAACGGCCACAUUGGGACUGAGAUACGGCCCAGACUCCUACGGGAGGCAGCAGUGGGGAAUAUUGGGCAAUGGGCGAAAGCCUGACCCAGCAACGCCGCGUGAAGGAAGAAGGUCUUCGGGAUUGUAAACUUCUUUUAUGAGGGACGAAGGGACGUGACGGUACCUCAUGAAAUAAGCCACGGGCUAACUACGUGCCAGCAGCC